GGCCGCCUGGCGAAAUGGCAUCGCGUCUGACUACGAUGAGGUAUCCGAAAUCAGGAGAUUGCAGGUUCGACCCCUGCGGUGGUCA